UACGAAGGGGGCUAGCGUUGCUCGGAAUCACUGGGCGUAAAGGGUGCGUAGGCGGGUCUUUAAGUUAGGGGUGAAAUCCUGGAGCUCAACUCCAGAACUGCCUUUGAUACUGAGGAUCUUGAGUACGGGAGAGGUGAGUGGAACUGCGAGUGUAGAGGUGAAAUUCGUAGAUAUUCGCAAGAACACCAGUGGCGAAGGCGGCUCACUGGCCCGUAACUGACGCUGAGGCACGAAAGCGUGGGGAGCAAACAGG
rnacentral:rRNA from 1 species